AUUCCCAUCCUUCACAUUUUUUCUUCAGCAUUCUAGCUCCCUAAACGCUAGUGGUUGCCGUCCAAGCCUUCUUAACCUAGUAUAUAUGCUAUUUAUUUUAUUUUUGUUCAGUUUGUAUUGAUAAUUUUUCGUCUUUUGUUGUCCCUCUCUUUUCUCCCUACUCUUUCCUUCCUUCUUGUGCCGUCCAAUGUUAUUGUGAUCACCAUAGUUGUGUCAUCUCUCUUCGUCAAUUGUUGUGGCUGUCGUUUUCACUAUUGCUUUCUCCUUCUUUGUUCGUUUUGUUGCUUCCAUUUUCAGCACCUUUGCUGUCCAUUUUAGUCACCAUAGCUGCACCUCAUUGAGCCAAGAAUUAAUCUCUCUUUUACUCUCCAAUGCCGCCCCUGUGUUUCCCUCUUUUCCUCUUGUUUUCCCUUAGUGUUUGCUGCCAUUUUUAAUCGCUUAAACCGUCCCCUUGCUGCCACUUUCCAGCCCAUUUUUUGCCAUUUUUUCUGCGCCAAAAUUGUCCCUUUUUUCUGUCCAUAUUAACCCUUUUGCUGCCGUUUAAUCUUCCUUUUGUGCCACACAUCACAGCCCUCAUUUUUGUUGUCAUUUAUUGCAUUGUCGCCCCUUAAACACCCUUUUUGUUGCUGUUUUUUUUCUUCUUAUUAUCGCACCUAUAGGCUGAUUUUAUUCCCUCAUUUUCAUUGAUUAAAUCAGCCCCUAAUCUUAAUCGUUUAGUGUGCAUUUGGGAUUAAGAGAUCUAUCAUCUCGGAUCUAGGAGACAAGAAGUUUGAUAUCUCGGGGGAAGUGCCUGCUUCCUCAAUCCCCUGUAUAAGCUCACAACAUGAGAACAUACUCGGUUGUGGUAAGUGAAAAUUUCCAACCUUGUAGCCUCGAAAAACAUGGACAAGGGCAAGGCCCCUGUUAUUGAAUAGGCGAGCAGAUAUGGAAAGAUUCUUGAGGAUAAUUCAGAUGACUUGUUUGAUGAGUCUAAAACCAUCACAGAUUCUAGCUUUGGAGAAGACAUUUCCUUGAAGAGCAUGAUGAAAGCUAAUACCAAGUGUCCUAAUAUACCACUUUCUACAAGCUAGAGAAACAAGAAGUUAAAGGAAGCUAGGGUUCCAAAAUUUCUUGCUAAAGCUAUUGAGGCUGGUAGGACCGGGAAGAAAGGAUAUUGGAGAUGAGGUACAAGGUAUUUCUGGGUGUUGCAUGUUUGAAGAGGUAUGACUCUUAUCAAAAAUAAUUUUAAAGAACAGAACGUAGAGGAAAAUAGUUUUGUCGAUCAUGGUAUAUAUGUAAUUCUUGAAAAUUAUGCCUUAGAGACACUGUAAGCUUUGUAAAGCACUACGUUCGCAAUGUGGUUACGAAUUUUUAUGCUAAUUUGCUUGGUAGUAUUUUUGAUAAGAACAGGAAGUUGUUUCAUAAGGUAUUAGGGCGUGGAGAAUGGUAUAAUUUUGGUAUUGUAGAGAUCAGGAAGGUCGUGAAUUAUUUUUUUUCCAAUAUGGUGGACCUCGAUGAAUGUAUUGACUGGACUACAACCAACAUUACAAACAA